CAAUAGCGUAUAUUAAAGUUGUUGCGGUUAAAAAGCUCGUAGUUGGAUUUCUGCCGAGGACGACCGGUCCGCCCUCUGGGUGAGUAUCUGGCUCGGCCUGGGCAUCUUCUUGGAGAACGUAGCUGCACUUGACUGUGUGGUGCGGUAUCCAGGACUUUUACUUUGAGGAAAUUCGAGUGUUUACGGCAGGCAAUCGCCUUGUAGAUAUUAGCAUGGAAUAAUAAUAUAGGACCUUGGUUCUAUUUUGUUGGUUUCUAGGACUGAGGUAAUGAUUAAUAGGGAUAUUUGGGGGCAUUCGUAUUAACCGGUCAGAGGUGGAAUUCUUGGAUUCGGUUACGACGAACUACUGCGAAAGCAUUUGCCAAGAAUGUUUUCAUUGAUCAAGAACGAAAGUGUGGGGAUCGAAGACGAUCAGAUACCAU
rnacentral:rRNA from 1 species